CGCCUCUUGCAUAUAUUAUAAGAGGUCUUGCCUGCCCAGUGACGCAAGUUUAACGGCCGCGGUAUUUUGACCGUGCAAAGGUAGCGUAAUCAAUCGUCUUUUAAAUGGAGACCUGUAUGAAUGGUAAAACGAAAACUCAACUGUCUCAUUCUUUCAGCCAAUGAAAUUGAUCUCUCCGUGCAGAAGCGGGGAUAUACACAUAAGACAAGAAGACCCUGUGGAGCUUUAGAUCUCUACUUAUAUCUUAGAUUGGGGCGAUCACGGAGAAAACAAACCCUCCAUGAAGAAAAACAUAGUUAAGAGUUACAGCUCCAAACACUAAUACAUUUUAAUUCUAUGAACCGGCCUGCCGAUUAACGAACCUAGUUACCCCAGGGAUAACAGCGCAAUCCCCUUAAAGAGCACUUAUCACUAAGGGGGUUUACGACCUCGAUGUUGGAUCAGGACAUCCUAAUGGCGCACCAACUAUUAAGGGUUCGUUUGUUCAACGAUUAAAGUCCU
rnacentral:rRNA from 1 species